UGAUAUACGCUCGUCUCAAAGGUUAAGCCAUGCAUGUCUAAGUACAAGCUUCCUAGAAAGUGAAACCGCAUAAGGCUCAGUAUAACAGCUAUAAUUUACAAGAUCCUCAUCCAAACAGUUACUUGGCUAACUGUGGAAAAGCCAGAGCUAAUACAUGCAUUAUGCCGGGACUGUUGGCCUCCGGGUCGGCGGAACUGGUGCACUUAUUAGUUAAACCAAUCGCCUCCGGGCGCUGUGAGUUGAAAUCUGGAUAAGGAUGCCGAUCGUACGGUCGCUUGCGACUGACGACAGAUCUUUCAAAUGUCUGCCCUAUCAACUAUUGAUGGUAGUGUAGAGGACUACCAUGGUUGCGACGGGUAACGGGGAAUCAGGGUUCGAUUCCGGAGAGGGAGCCUGAGAAAUGGCUACCACAUCCAAGGAAGGCAGCAGGCGCGUAAAUUACCCAAUCCCGGCACGGGGAGGUAGCGACGAGAAAUAACAAUAUGGACCUCUCUAACGAUGGUCCAUAAUUGGAAUGAGUUGAGCAUAAAUCCUUUUGCAAGGAUCAAGUGGAGGGCAAGUCUGGUGCCAGCAGCCGCGGUAAUUCCAGCUCCACUAGCGUAUAUUA
rnacentral:rRNA from 1 species